AAGUUUUUUUUUUCAAAUUUGUCUAGGAGGUUUUCCUGUCUCUACCAGAAGAUUCCCUC
rnacentral:snRNA from 1 species